rnacentral:misc_RNA from 1 species
UCGUAACAAGGUUUCCGUAGGUGAACCUGCGGAAGGAUCAUUACCGAGUGCGGGCCCUCGUGGCCCAACCUCCCACCCUUGUCUCUAUACACCUGUUGCUUUGGCGGGCCCACCGGGGCCACCUGGUCGCCGGGGGACAUCUGUCCCCGGGCCCGCGCCCGCCGAAGCGCUCUGUGAACCCUGAUGAAGAUGGGCUGUCUGAGUACUAUGAAAAUUGUCAAAACUUUCAACAAUGGAUCUCUUGGUUCCGGCAUCGAUGAAGAACGCAGCGAAAUGCGAUAAGUAAUGUGAAUUGCAGAAUUCCGUGAAUCAUCGAAUCUUUGAACGCACAUUGCGCCCCCUGGCAUUCCGGGGGGCAUGCCUGUCCGAGCGUCAUUUCUGCCCUCAAGCACGGCUUGUGUGUUGGGUGCGGUCCCCCCGGGGACCUGCCCGAAAGGCAGCGGCGACGUCCGUCUGGUCCUCGAGCGUAUGGGGCUUUGUCACUCGCUCGGGAAGGACUGGCGGGGGUUGGUCACCACCAAAAUUUUACCACGGUUGACCUCGGAUCAGGUAGGAGUUACCCGCUGAACCUAAGCAUAUCA